rnacentral:rRNA from 1 species
UUGAAAAGAACUUUGAAGAGAGAGUUCAAGAGUACGUGAAACCGUUCAGGGGUAAACCUAAGAAACCCAAAAGAUCGAACGGGGAGAUUCAUCGUCAGCGACGCUGGCUUCGCGUCGGUGGGCGAUGUCCCGCGGCUUGUCGCGCGGGCACGCUACCGUGCGCGCACGACCGGCGUCGUCGUCGUGCACUUCUCCCCUAGUAGAACGUCGCGACCCGCUGGGUGUCGGUCUACGGCCCGGGUGCGGUGGCUGUCGCGUCGCCGGUAAAACGGCACGCGGCAAACCCCCGGACGCCCGGCCGGCUGCCCGGCGGUACUCGCACGGUGUCAGGCCGCAGCCACAAAACUUCUCGGAGUCUGCGUCAAGCCCGUCGCAAGCGCGCGCCACGGUUACUCGGAGGCACGGACCUAGCGCCGUCCCCGGUCCUGGCCCGCUGUUGGCCGACGGUGAUCCUUUGACAGGCCUUACGGGGCGCGAGGCGGGCGGCGUUCGCGCCGUUCCGCGUCCGCCCUAACACCGGUCGGCGACGCUACUGCUUUGGGUACUCUUAGGACCCGUCUUGAAACACGGACCAAGGAGUCUAACAUGUGCGCGAGUCAUUGGGACUAGCAAAACCCAAAGGCGCAAUGAAAGUGAAGGUCGGCCCUGGCGCCGACCGAGGGAGGAUGGGCCGCGUCGCGAUGCGGCCUCGCACUCCCGGGGCGUCUCGUUCUCAUCGCGAGAAGAGGCGCACCAAGAGCGUACACGUUGGGACCCGAAAGAUGGUGAACUAUGCCUGGUCAGGACGAAGUCAGGGGAAACCCUGAUGGAGGUCCGUAGCGAUUCUGACGUGCAAAUCGAUCGUCGGAACUGGGUAUAGGGGCGAAAGACUAAUCGAACCAUCUAGUAGCUGGUUCCCUCCGAAGUUUCCCUCAGGAUAGCUGGCACUCGGCCGUUCCACGGAACGCGCGCGAGUCUCAUCUGGUAAAGCGAAUGAUUAGAGGCCUUGGGGCCGAAACGACCUCAACCUAUUCUCAAACUUUAAAUGGGUGAGAUCUCUGGCUUUCUUGAACGUUGAAGCCACGAGAAUCUCGGAUCAGAGUGCCAAGUGGGCCAUUUUUGGUAAGCAGAACUGGCGCUGUGGGAUGAACCAAACGCAGAGUUAAGGCGCCUAACUCGACGCUCAUGGGACACCAUGAAAGGCGUUGGUUGCUUAAGACAGCAGGACGGUGGCCAUGGAAGUCGGAAUCCGCUAAGGAGUGUGUAACAACUCACCUGCCGAAGCAACUAGCCCUGAAAAUGGAUGGCGCUGAAGCGUCGAGCCUAUACUCUGCCGUCAGCGGCAAGUGGGGCGGGGUGGCGCGAGCCGGCCCCGUCACGAAGCCCUGACGAGUAGGAGGGUCGCGGCGGUGUGCGCAGAAGGGUCU